rnacentral:lncRNA from 1 species
ACUGCCCAAGCCAUUUGGAAUUCACAUCUCAAAAUCAUCAUAAUUUACUCUGAAACUUUAGAAGAUAGACAGCAGCCAUGGCAUUAAUCUACUACAACUCAGAGCAAGCGAAACCAAUGGAUCCUAGGAAG